AUGAUCGCUGGUGCACUAGUGAGUAGUUACACAGGUCUGAUAUCCCAUCAAAGAAAAAAAAUUAGAGUCCAUAGAGACAAAGAUUCAAACAGCUCCAUUCUUCAUUGUGGUCUGCUAAAAUUGGCUUGUUUGUGCCCCAUAAUCUUAGGCAUUUCUUGUAUAUAUAGUGAUCUAAACGAUCAUAUAUUUCUUUACAAAGGGAGUGCCUAUUUCCCUGUAAAAUCAGGUACUGUUCAGAAGCAUAGCAUCAUAUUGUAUAUGCUAAUGUCUGUAAAAAUGGUUUGUGAGUUACUCCCUCCUUCCUAA
rnacentral:rRNA from 1 species